GGAGAAGGAAAUGGUGAAUGCACUGCAAUUCAACAUGUCAGUUCCAACACUUUUACGUAUUUAUGAAGAGAUUUCUCAAGGCUGCUCAAGCCGAUAACAAGCUUGAGGCUCUGUCUAUCUUCAUCGUUGAGCUUGCCCUGGUUGAGUAUGAGAUGCUCAAGUUUCCACCCUCUGUGCUGGCGGCAGCAGCCAUUUUCACUGCUCAGUGUAGUCUUCACAGGUCUAAGCAGUGGACUAAAGCCACUGAGUGGCACACCACCUCCACGGAAGACCAGCUUAUGUGAGCUUUUUUAAUUUCUUUCAUUCUCCUAGUUUCCUGCCAGUUUGUCCACAAAUUAUGCAGAUUAAUAAAUGCCUCCCAGCGGAUAAGGUGGUACUUUUAUUGUGUUUACAGGGAUUGCUCAAGACUAGUGG